rnacentral:ncRNA from 1 species
AAGCCUAGAUUCAUUAUUGAAAUUGCGUACGGCUCAUUAGAGCAGAUAUCACCUUAUUCGGAAUCCUAUAUGGAUAACUGCGGAAAUACUGGAGCUGAUACAUGCAGUAUACCCCAACGCAGGGGGGGUGUAAUGAUUAAAACAGACCAAACGUUCUCGGACGUUGUUUGUGACUCUGAAUAAAGCAGUUUACUGUCAUUUCGACUGACUCUAUCCGAAAAGGGAGUCUGCCCUUUAACUAGAUGGUAGUUCUUGGACUACCAUGAUUGGUACGGGGAGCGGAGAAUAAGGGUUCCGACUCCGGAGAGGGAGCCGUAAUAUCCGGGCUACCACGUCCAAGAAUGGCA